CACGUAGGGUGCGAGCGUUGUCCGGAAUUAUUGGGCGUAAAGAGCUCGUAGGCGGUGUGUCGCGUCGGCCGUGAAAACCUGCAGCUUAACUGUGGCUUGCGGUCGAUACGGGCAUCACUGGAGUUCGGCAGGGGAGACUGGAAUUCCUGGUGUAGCGGUGAAAUCCGUAGAUAUCAGCAGGAACACCAAUGGCGAAGGCAGCUCACUGGACCAUUCCUGACGCUCAGGCACGAAAGCGUGGGGAGCGAACCGG
rnacentral:rRNA from 1 species